UACGUAGGGUGCGAGCGUUAAUCGGAAUUACUGGGCGUAAAGCGUGCGCAGGCGGCUUUGCAAGACAGAUGUGAAAUCCCCGGGCUCAACCUGGGAACUGCAUUUGUGACUGCAAGGCUGGAGUACGGUAGAGGGGGGAUGGAAUUCCGCGUGUAGCAGUGAAAUGCGUAGAUAUGCGGAGGAACACCGAUGGCGAAGGCAAUCCCCUGGACCUGUACUGACGCUCAUGCACGAAAGCGUGGGGAGCAAACAGG
rnacentral:rRNA from 1 species